GAUGAACGCUAGCGGCAGGCUUAAUUACAUGCAAGUCGAGGGGCAGCACAGGUAGCAAUACUGGGUGGCGACCGGCAAACGGGUGCGGAACACGUACGCAACCUUCCCAAAACAGGUGAAUAGCCCUCCGAAAGGAGGAUUAAUACACCGUACCAUAAUAGAGUGGCAUCACUUUAUUAUUAUAGGCAGCGAUGUCGGUUUUGGAUGGGCGUGCGCCUGAUUAGGUAGUUGGCGGGGUAACGGCCCACCAAGCCUUCGAUCAGUAACUGGUGUGAGAGCACGACCAGUCACACGGGCACUGAGACACGGGCCCGACUCCUACGGGAGGCAGCAGUAAGGAAUAUUGGUCAAUGGACGCAAGUCUGAAACCAGCCAUGCCGCGUGAAGGAUGAACGGCCCUCUGGGUUGUAAAACUUCUUUUAUCUGGGACGAAAAACGGACUUUCUAGUUCACUUGACGGUACC
rnacentral:rRNA from 1 species